AAGCAUAUAAUUAAGCGGAGGAAAAGAAACCAAUAAGGAUUGACUCAGUAAGGGCGACUGAAGCAUCAUGAGCUCACCAUGUGAAUCUGCACCCUUGGUGCCGAAUUGUGGUCUGGAGACUCUUGCAUUAUAUGGACAGGCCAGGUUCCUUGGAACGGGGCAGCUGAGAGGGUGAAACUCCCGUACGCCUACCCUUGUAGCAAGUGUCAUGGAGUCGAGUUGUUUGGGAUUGCAGCUCAAAGCGGGUGGUAAAUUCCAUCAAAAGCUAAACAAUGGUGGGAGACCGAUAGCGAACAAGUACCGUGAGGGAAAGAUGCAAAGAACUUUGAAAAGAGAGUUAAAGAGUACCUGAAAUUGCUGAAAAGGAAGCGAAGGAAACCAGUGCCAGUUGUGCCAUACUUCUCCGCUCGCUUGCGGUCGGGGCGCUGUGGCCAGCAUUGUUCUCCUUGAUUCGUUUGGAUGGAGGCAUGAUCAAGGAAGUUGCCCUUGCUGCAUUACACCCAAAUUGAUUGAGUGGGACCAAAUGGUUUUCUUUUCCCCGUCUAGAAACACGGACCAAGGAGUCUAACAUAUGUGCGAGUACAGGGGUGAUAAUCCUCCGUGCGCAAUGAAAGUGACAGUGGCUGGAGCGUUGUUGCACAGUCCGCCGGCCACAAUCCCUCGGGAGAACGGUCUGAGUGUGAGCAUACAUGUUGGGACCCGAAAGAUGGUGAACUAUGCUUGAGUAGGGUGAAGCCAGGGGAAACUCUGGUGGAGGCUCGUAGCGAUUCUGACGUGCAAAUCGAUCGUCAAACUUGAGUAUAGGGGCGAAAGACUAAUCGAACUAUCUAGUAGCUGGUUCCCUCCGAAAUUUCCCUUAGGAUAGCUGCGAUCGACCAUCAAUUUUGUCAGGUAAAGC
rnacentral:rRNA from 1 species